AAAAUUAGAAGAAAAGAAGUUGGAAUUGUUGUUUCUUUGAUGGAGUGAACACCAUAAAAAACUUUGCAAUUUUAUAAGGACAAAGGCAAAGCCUCUAAUUUAUUAUUUGCCUAACAAACCUUUGGAUGAAGAUGCUACCUUGCUUGAACGCAAAGAACAUAAAUUGUCCUAAUGAAAUGUUAAUAAGAGAGAGAAACUUUCUGAAUAUCCGUCAUCAAAAGCAACUGCUUAUGCCUUUUUUGUCACGGAAAGCUGAUAGUUCUAUCAAAAUCUCAGUUUGGCCAUUAAUCUUUGCUCUAUAUUUCCAAGGACUCCUCAUCCAAAAUCAACCCUUCAUUGUCUAAAAACUGCUCAACCUUCUCGGCACGGACUGCAGCCUCCUAAUUAUCCAUCCCCAUUUCGUGGAACUUCAUUACUCUUCCAAUAAAAGAAAUAUUACAGGGAGUUGAAGAGGCAUACAAAAAGAACAAGGAAAUGCCACACACAAAUUUGACAAGCUUCAAUGAUCGGUAUUCCAAAAUGCUUCCCUUUACAGUCUAAAUGUGUCAAGAAUGAAUGUCAAGAGCUGCAAUAUUUGCAAUUUGUGAUUUGAAAUUGAAAGCAAUUUGAUAGGUUUCUGUGCUAUCGUGAGAAUAUGUAAGUAUAGAUUUGGGAAAAUUGCUUCUGAUAUUUACUUCAAACCAAUAACAAUCUACACUAUCUACCUUCUCAUAUAUCUGAAUCAAUCAAAUAUUUCAUUUCAGCAAAAGCUAUUAGUCCAAUAUCAAAACCCAUUACAAAAUUUACAUCAAACUCAAACAAGAUCAAGCUGCGCAGCAAUUUCAUCCAACUGCUUCUUCACACUCAGAUCAAUCAGCUUAGAACCCGAGAUCCCAAAUCUUACAGUGAACCCAGCCACCAAGCUAGGGUCAAGCACCGUCUUAAUCCUCACGUUCUUAGCUCCGGUGAGUUUCUGCACUUGCUUCGCUAUCUGGGCUAAGUGCUGUGACUCCAACUUCACAACAGAUGUCACGACCGCAAGCUCAGUAUCCGUCAAUUUAUUGUACACCAUCUCGAAUUCCUUCACGAUAUCUUUCACCAAGUCGAUGCGCUUGGCAUCGACCAAGAUGUUCAAGAAAUUUGCAGUGUGGGGCUGGAGCUCCGACGACUUAACAAUUUCAUCCAGCAGUUGGCGCUUCUUCUCGGCGUCGAUUGUUGGGUUGGAGAAAAAGUCGUACAAUUGCGGAUCCGCAAAGAGCUUCUCGAUUUUUUCCACGUCGGCGGAGGUCGAGUCUAGAGUGUUGUUCGACUUAGCGACAUCAGCCAGGGCUGCCGCGUAACUACCAGCGGCGGUUGCAGCCAUUUUCGCUCCGAUAGCGCCGCCGCUACGGUGGGUGGAGGCGAUGGAAGUGAGUUUGAUAGAGGGGAAAGUGGCGGAGAAAGAGAUGUUGAGGGGUUUUUGAGACGAAAGGGCUGUUGAGAGUCGUGCAGAUGGUGGGAUUUUGGACUGGAGGGAAACUGGGGUGUUGAGAAGCGCUGCCAUUGCUGCUGAUGGUGGUGGUGAGGGAAAGAAGGAGAUGUGGAACGAAAGCAAGCAGCUUGCUAUGGCUGAGAAGGGAGUUUUUGAUAGAAUUGUACGGUGGCGGAAGCGUGGUUUAUCUUGUGAGGGGAUAUGGGAGAAUCAUAGCCAAUCAAAG
rnacentral:misc_RNA from 1 species